rnacentral:rRNA from 1 species
UACAGAGGAGCCAAGCGUUGUCCGGAUUGACUGGGCGUAAAGCGCACGCAGGCGGACGCGCGCGUGGGGUGUGAAAUCUGGCCGCUUAACGGCCAGGCGCCAUCCCAUACGGCGGGUCUGGAGCCUUGCAGAGGUCGGUGGAAUUGCCGGUGGAGCGGUGAAAUGCGUAGAGAUCAGGAAGAACAUCGGUGGCGAAGGCGCUCUGCUGGACCAUAACUGACACUCAGGGACGAAAGCUAGGGGAGCGAAUGGG